CCGAGUUUACAACUCCCAAACCCAAUGUGAACGUUACCAAACUGUUGCCUCGGCGGGAUCUCUGCCCCGGGUGCGUCGCAGCCCCGGACCAAGGCGCCCGCCGGAGGACCAACCUAAAACUCUUAUUGUAUACCCCUCGCGGGUUUUUUAUAAUCUGAGCCUUCUCGGCGCCUCUCGUAGGCGUUUCGAAAAUGAAUCA
rnacentral:misc_RNA from 1 species